rnacentral:rRNA from 1 species
GGAUUAGAUACCCUGGUAGUCCACGCCGUAAACGAUGUCUACUUGGAGGUUGUGGCCUUGAGCCGUGGCUUUCGGAGCUAACGCGUUAAGUAGACCGCCUGGGGAGUACGGUCGCAAGAUUAAAACUCAAAUGAAUUGACGGGGGCCCGCACAAGCGGUGGAGCAUGUGGUUUAAUUCGAUGCAACGCGAAGAACCUUACCUACUCUUGACAUCCAGAGAACUUUCCAGAGAUGGAUUGGUGCCUUCGGGAACUCUGAGACAGGUGCUGCAUGGCUGUCGUCAGCUCGUGCCG